GAGGCCCCUAUAUUACAACAGUACAUUCAGAAGUAAAUUAGGAGAGUAUUGGCACUGACAAGAACGCUUAUCUUUCACAUUGAUAAUAUUUAGAUGUCGAUUUCUUUGAGCAAUAGUUCAUGAAAAGAACUAUACCACUGCUGGUGUAUGUCUCUAAAAAGCAAGGAGAUUCCUAAAUAUGUUUGAUCCUCAAAUGCAGCGCUUUUAUUCAAUGCGUGUAACCGGAUUUAAUUACUUUAAAGUAUCAUUCAAGUCUGUGAUGGUCGGCUUAAAUUUUGUGGUUGUUCCAAUUGCAAUCUUUACUUACUUAAUAUAUAAGGAAAGAGAAGGAAAAGAAAGAAAAAUUCGUAAUGGUGAAAUAAUGUACAAAGACCGGCACAAUAAAUUUAUCUAGAGUAACAAAUGUAACAGACAAAUUAAUUGAAAUAAAAAAAACAUCUUGGAGUAAUAAUUGUAUUUAGUCUUCACAUUAUGAAACAAAAAUUUUACAUUUCUGUAUCCUUGAUAAAAUGCAAAUUAUUUACCUAUAUUUUGAUCAGAAUAUUUCUGUGAUUGUACUCAAUGAUAUAUUUUCACACAUCACACACAUUUGGAUUGCAAUGGUGCCUGUAUAUGAUAACUCAGUCUGCUAGAAAAAGCAGCCAAGUUACCUCAAACAACACCUAGCCAGCUUAAAAAAGAACGAUCCAAUUUGGGUAAUAGUCUUGAAUAUAUUAUCUGAAGAUAAGAUAGGAUAGUCAUAGCUGUAACAUUUUAAUAUUUAUAGAUCUACUCAGAUUAAAAUAAAGCAAUAUAUAUCUAUAUUGAACAUGCUCGUUUAAGCUCAAACCUGGAA
rnacentral:lncRNA from 1 species